GGGGAAUCUUGCACAAUGGAGGAAACUCUGAUGCAGCGAUGCCGCGUGAGUGAAGAAGGCCUUUGGGUUGUAAAGCUCUUUUGUCGGGGAAGGUAAUGACUGUACCCUAAGAAUAAGGUCCGGCUAACUUCGUGCCAGCAGCCGCGGUAAUACGAAGGGACCUAGCGUAGUUCGGAAUUACUGGGCGUAAAGCGCGCGUAGGCCGUUGAGUAAGUUAAUAGUGAAAUCCCAAAGCUUAACUUUGGAACUGCAAUUAAAACUACUCAGCUAGAGUUUGAUAGAGGAAAGCGGAAUACAUAGUGUAGAGGUGGAAUUCGUAGAUAUUAUGUAGAACACCAGUUGCGAAGGCGGCUUUCUGGAUCAACACUGACGCUGAGGCGCGAAAGUAUGGGUAGCGAAGAGGAUUAGAUACCCUCGUAGUCCAUACCAUAAACGAUGAUUGCUAGAUGUUGGAAAUUUAUUUUCAGUGACGCAGCUAACGCAUUAAGCAAUCCGCCUGGGGAGUACGGCCGCAAGGUUAAAACUCAAAUGAAUUGACGGGGA
rnacentral:rRNA from 1 species